CAAAUAAUUCCCAAGUGCUGAAGAUUAGAUGAGUAAGCAUCGCAGCUGAUACCCUCCUUAUCAGUAAACCUGGAAGAGGAACAAGUCUCUCUCGCAUCCAGCAGCCUCUGCAAUCCGUGGCAGCUAAGUAUCUCUAGUCUUCUUAGAGUUGUGGGUAGCUGGUGUCUUCCAAUGGAAAUUAGAGAAUCACACUCAAAAAUUUUCAACUCCUCAAGACACAAACUUUUAUAAAUCACUGCAUCUGGCAAAGAAAUAAGUCUCGGGCAGUUUUCAAUAGAUAGCUUUCUCAGAGACUUAAAACUGUGAAGCAAUGGCGGUAGUCUCUCAAGCCUUUCACAAAGAUGAAAUUCUAAAAUUCUUAUUUCACUAUCAGCGACGCCCUUUUGCAACAACUCUUCAUUUUCAGCGA
rnacentral:misc_RNA from 1 species